UACGGAGGGUGCAAGCGUUAAUCGGAAUUACUGGGCGUAAAGCGUACGUAGGCGGCUUGUUAAGCAAGAUGUGAAAUCCCCGGGCUCAACCUGGGAGUGGCAUUUUGAACUGGCAGGCUCGAGUUCUGAAGAGGGUGGUAGAAUUUCCAGUGUAGCGGUGAAAUGCGUAGAUAUUGGAAGGAAUACCGGUGGCGAAGGCGGCCACCUGGUCAGAAACUGACGCUGAGGUACGAAAGCGUGGGGAGCAAACAGG
rnacentral:rRNA from 1 species